UGUUUUCACACUUUGAAUUCAGCCAAAUUGUGGGCUAUCGCUGUCAAGGUCUGAACUGGCUCUUUUUGUGUUUAUAAUUGACUUCCAUACAAUUUACCUUGCAGACAGGGCUAAAGUGGCAGUUGCAGGAGAGAUCAACAUCUGCAUGAUUGUUGAUGGGCUAAAGAUGUUUAAACAAGUAAAUUACUGAUGAUGAAGAGAAUUGAAUUAAAGUUAAUGAGAGAUGGAGACAAGAAAGAGAGAAAUCUUCCUCGGAGGGAUGAGGAUGGGAAGAGAAAUUGGAUUCCGCGUCCUCCCCGUAUCUGGGAUGUGAGGAGGAAGGGGGAAAAUCUGUUUUACAAGGACCAGGAUUGGGGUAUUCGGUCUUGUCUCGCCCCAUUAUCAUCCCUACACAAGAGAAUACUUUGAUACAGUGAACAUAGAUGGACUGGUAAAUACCAUAAACAAGCUUUUGUGGAGUUGCCAUUGGUAUCAAAUGUGAUGACAUCGAUUCUACAGGCUCAGAAACAACGUAUGGAUGAUGAGGAGGAAGCUGGCCAGGACAUGUUUUAUGCUGCAGCAGUUAUUGGCUAUGGAGUUGGCUUUGGUGAGCUUUUCUGGGUUCUUCCCUCGUUGAAAGAGAACUGGAAAAGAAACAUUGGUUAGCAUCCAGAUUUACUGAAAAAUCCUUGUGUUUUUGUAAUAACAAUCAUAUAAGAAACCAAGCAAAGCCGGAGCCUUAACCCUGUGUAAAAUGUAUACGUUUGUAUUAUAUUAAGUAAUUAGUCACCAGCUAAAAAUAUAA